rnacentral:tRNA from 1 species
AAGACUUUAAGUUAAAAAAACUAUAUACCUUCAAAGUAUAAAAUAAUUAAAUUAAGUCUUA